UACGGGGGGGGUAAGCGUUGUUCGGAAUUACUGGGCGUAAAGGGCUCGUAGGCGGCCAACUAAGUCGGACGUGAAAUCCCUCAGCUUAACUGGGGAACUGCGUCCGAUACUGGAUGGCUUGAAUUCGGGAGAGGGAUGCAGAAUUCCAGGUGUAGCGGUGAAAUGCGUAGAUAUCUGGAGGAACACCGGUGGCGAAGGCGGCAUCCUGGACCAAUAUUGACGCUGAGGAGCGAAAGCCAGGGGAGCAAACGGG
rnacentral:rRNA from 1 species